UUUGAAAGAGCUUUUUAGAAAUCCUGGAGAACUAUUGCUCAAGACUACUUUAAACAAUAACAAAAUGUGGCUCCUUGAAAGCAAAAUAUAAAGAAAUGAGGGGUGGGUUUAAGGGUUUUUCACAGUGCUGUUGGGAUGUUUAUUUACUGCACACUGCAGUUAGUGUGCUAGAGUCACUGCCUGCCUAAUGGUGUCGAGAGGACUGGAUUGAUUGGUUGCUUUUUGUUUUUUUAUCUUAAGCAGGCUCAAAGUCGGCUGUUUCUGAACCUUGUAAAUAUGUCUCCUGGUCUUUAUUUUGCUAAGACGGGGACUCUGUGUCUUUAUUAACCCUACAAUAUUCCUUAUAUUUGCCAAAUAGUUGAAUGAGUGCUGUAUUUAUUCUUGGGUAAUGAUGCAUUUGUUGAUUGUGAUGUACAAACAAUGUGUCAGAUAAUUUUAUUUCUCCUUAGGAUAAUAAUAAUAAUACCUAUAUAAUGAAACCAAUGACAAAGCAGGGAAAGUGUUGUGAACACACAAAGGACAGGGUGCACUUUCCUUUACCUCGUCCAACACUUGCUACUGUGAAAGGUAAAACAUGGAGCAUGGCUACAAAGUGUUGGUUGAAGCAAAGAACACGUACAAAGCAGCUUAGUUCCAUUUGGCAAAACCUUAAAUCCGACUUUAUAAACUGAGUUCUUUCCGCCAAAGCUUCUGAGUGUGAAUCUUAAUUAGUAAAUAUGUUGCAGACUGUUAUGGGACUCUGUAUCUCAAACUUAUAAUUUUCUUUUUGAUUUUUAUCAGCCAGCUUGUGCUCAUAAUCCUGGAAAGAAAAUAAAUGUGGCAAUAAUACUCUGUUAUGUAAUGCUAGUUUGAUUUCAGUAGUGAUGUUGUAUGUAUACUUACUAUGAUGUACUAAAUAGAAAUGCCCCAAAAUCAUUCGUGCUUCCAGUUCUUAAUUCUCUGUAGUCCGAGAUCUUAAUGCAUGAAACCCAGUGAACCUGUCUGUCUCUCUCUCUCUCUCUGUUCCUUGUUUUUUUUUUUUUAAAAAAACAAGUUUUAUACCAAGUGUACUUAUGUCUGUGAACCAUUACUGAAAACUAGAGCUCUUUGGUUUUUGGGGGGAUGACGUGGGCUGAUGGUGUAUUGUGCAGAACAGUGGAAAAAAAACAAAAAAGCAGAGCAUCUUUGCUGCGAUGUCCUUUUGUUUAUGACAGCACCGCCUUUCCUUGUGCAGCCAGCGCUUGACCUUGUGGUGAAAACAGCUGAAAGCAGCAUCUUUUAAUCACUGUGGAUUAUUAUCUUUUUUUUUUUUUUUUUAAAUUUGCUAUAGAUUGAUCUGUAUCUGGAUACACAGGAAUCAGCUGGUGCUUUUUUUGUUUGUUUGUUUUUUUGUGUGUGUGUGUGUUUUUUUUUUCUUGUCUUCUUGAUUGCUAAUAUGAUCAUUUGAGUUUCCUGAUAGUGCAUUGUAACAGCUGGUUCUUGGGGGUUUUUUUUUCUGUCACAUUGACUGCACUGAGCUUUAGACAUCAGCCUAGCUGAUGAAUGCAAACUUGGACAUUUAAAAAGAAAAAACUGGUACUGGCCACGAGAGGUUUUUAGAAGCCAAUAAAAUAAAGAUCAUAUUUUGUAUAGUGAUGCAUAAAGUAUGUAGCAGUUUCUGUUUGAUGUGAAGCUCCUUAUGAAAUCAUUUUUCCUUUUAAAGAGGUUGGAGUUUUUCCCCAAUUCUCUGCAUGCAGACCUGCAGUUAUGACUUUUGGAUGUAGGUGCGUCUUCUGCCACCUACUGACAAAAGAUGGCUCCUGCACUUGUGAAACCCUUUGUGCCACUUUUGGGUAAUAUUUAAGGAAAACUAGAAUCCUGGAAAUGCACAAAUAAUUGACAGAGAACAUCUGGCACAAGUGUGUGUGCGCACAGGUGUUUGUAGGUGUGCUCAGAGCAGCACGACUAGAUCUCCAAUCUAAACCUCAGUUUUAAGGUUAUUGCUUGAAACUCUUGACACUGGUUUGAGAUGCUUCGCAUUGACAACACCGUGUCCUUGUUUACUUAUUUGAAGUAGCUCCCGGAAAACCAUUUUAAAUCUCUUUCUGGAAACAUUUUUAAAGACUUGUGGUGUUUUUGGCUUUCUGUUCUGAUUUUUAUAUAAAUGUGGGUUUUUUUCUCGUUUUUGUAUUGUCCCUAUCAUGUAUUGGAUACAUGCAACUGCAGUAUCGUGUCCUAAUUGUAUCUUGUAUUAUGCAUAUGAAAUAAAUUUGGAGUUUUACCGA
ensembl:lncRNA